GAUGAACGCUGGCGGCGUGCCUAAUACAUGCAAGUCGAGCGAAUGGAUUAAGAGCUUGCUCUUAUGAAGUUAGCGGCGGACGGGUGAGUAACACGUGGGUAACCUGCCCAUAAGACUGGGAUAACUCCGGGAAACCGGGGCUAAUACCGGAUAAUAUUUUGAACUGCAUGGUUCAAAAUUGAAAGGCGGCUUCGGCUGUCACUUAUGGAUGGACCCGCGUCGCAUUGGCUAGUUGGUGAGGUAACGGCUCACCAAGGCAACGAUGCGUAGCCGACCUGAGAGGGUGAUCGGCCACACUGGGACUGAGACACGGCCCAGACUCCUACGGGAGGCAGCAGUAGGGAGUCUUCCGCAAUGGACGAAAGUCUGACGGAGCAACGCCGCGUGAGUGAUGAAGGCUUUCGGGUCGUAAAACUCUGUUGUUAGGGAAGAACAAGUGCUAGUUGAAUAAGCUGGCACCUUGACGGUACCUAACCAGAAAGCCACGGCUAACUACGUGCCAGCAGCCGCGGUAA
rnacentral:rRNA from 1 species